rnacentral:rRNA from 1 species
UACGUAGGGGGCAAGCGUUGUCCGGAUUUAUUGGGCGUAAAGAGCGUGUAGGCGGCCAGGUAGGUCCGUUGUGAAAACUCGAGGCUCAACCUCGAGACGCCGAUGGAAACCAUCUGGCUAGAGUCCGGAAGAGGAGAGUGGAAUUCCCGGUGUAGCGGUGAAAUGCGCAGAUAUCGGGAAGAACACCCGAGGCUAAGGCGGCUCUCUAGUACGGUACUGACGCUGAGACGCGAAAGCGUGGGGAGCGAACAGG